rnacentral:lncRNA from 1 species
CAAAAUAUAGGAUUACCAGUUCUUUCAAAAGUUGCACACAAUCAUGACGACUAAAUGUGGUUUAUCAAUCGUAACAUUUCUUUUUGUAAUUGCGUUUUGUGAAGGAUAUCCUUAUUACGUAAGUUAUAUUGAUAAAACAUACAUUCUCUUUUUUUAAUUUAGAAGAAUAAUAGUAAAAGGUAUUAGGAGCAAUAUAUUUUCCAUGCAUGCGCCAACAAUUAAUUUAAUUUUUUUAUUUUCCUUACAUAGAAAUUGUAAAAUUCUUUACAAUUUUCACUGCGAAACGUUAUGUUAUGGGAGACUUCAAUGUGACAAAAACAUUAAAACAAAAAAAAAUGAAUGAUUUGUUUUACAGGUUUUAUUUAGUGUUAAUCUCUUAAAAACAGUUGUAUCUCGUUAUGUAACAUCGAAACUAAACAGAAUACUCAAAACCUUAUACAUUUUUUUUGGAUUAUUUUCUCUUCGACUUUAAACGGAGAAUCCAGCACAUUUUCAUGAAUGAAGCUCGGAUUUGUUUGUUCUGUAGCUUUAUUGACAUAUGUUAAAAAUCAUUACAAUUUAUGUUUGAUUGAUAGUUCCUUCGUUUCAAUAUGUUUCUGGUUUUUUUUUUUUUUUUUUUUUUUGUUGUUGUUUAACAGCGAUUCCAGCAGCACCUGCAUACGGGGUAUAUAUCUCCCAAUUGAUACGAUAUUCCCGUGCUUGCAUUUCCUAUCAUGAUUUUCUUGAUAGAGGGUUGCUGCUCACAAGGAAGCUAUUGAACCAAGAGUUCCAAAUGGUGAAGUUGAAAUCAUCCCUUCGUAAAUUUUACGGACGCCAUCACGAGUUGGUUGACCGUUAUGGAAUAACCGUUUCACAAAUGAUAUCGGAUAUGUUCCUUACGUCGUAACUACAAUCCCCUUCCCUUUCAUGAAUGUGACCUACCGACUAUUUACCGGAUUUGUUAUCACAUAAGCAACACGACGGGUGCCGCAUGUGGAGCAGGAUCUGCUUACCCUUCCGGAGCACCUGAGAUCAUCCCUAGUUUUUUGGUGGGGUUCGUGUUGUUUAUUCUUUAGUUUUCUAUGUUUUGUCGUGUGUGCUGUUGUUUGUUUGUCUUUUUCAUUUUUAGCCAUGGCGUUGUCAGUUUGUUUUAGAUUUAUGAGUUUAACUGUCCCUUUGGUAUCUUUCGUCCCUCUUUUAUGUUUACUUGUUGUGCUUGUGUAUUCAAAGAAGUUUUGUGUCUACAAUUUGAUGGGUUUUUUUUGCAAGAAAUAUGUAAAAUUCUUGCGAUACGAAAUUUGCAUCACUAUUCGUUUAUUAAAAAAGAUAUUUCAUACAUCUAAUCCUGAUAUUCAAUAUUAUCACACACAUUCUCUGUUUAUCUUCUUUAAGUUUUUGCUCUUUUUAUCUUUUGAAUUUCCUGAAAGUAUGCUUUUAUUGGAUUAUCUACCCAUCUGUUCAGUUUGUUUUUUUCUUCUGCAAGAAACGGACACUCUUGGUGUGGGAUUUUCACGACUGCGUUGAAAAACCAAUUGAUGGCAUUCGGCUUCUCUUUGGUCGGGUUGUUGUCUUUUCGACAUAUCACCCUUUUCCAUUCUCAAUUUUAUAAAACAGUAUUACAUGAAUUUAUAUAUUCUGGAAUGUGCAAAUUUAACAAAUAAAAAGAAAGGUAUGUUUAUGGAACAUCAUAUUAAUUAAAUCAGACGAAAUAUUUCAUUUGUUAUAAUGGAAAAUAAUCGGCAUUAGUACUGAAAUUUUAGCACUUUCUUAAUCCUGGUGUCUAUGCUGAGAUAAUUUACAACCGCUGGGUCGAUGCCGCUGCUGGUGGAAUUUUAAUUCUGCGAGGAUAUCACCAGCCCAGUAGUCAGCACUUGUGGUGACAUGAAUUAUCAUUGAUAUGGUCAUAUUUAUGAAUUGACUGUUUAUAAAACUUUUGAUUUUUUGAAAUACUAAGGCUUUCUUCCUCAUGAAUAGCUUAUCUUAGCUGUAUUUGGCAAAUUUUAGGAAUGUUGGUCCUCAAUGCUCUUAACUUCAUACUUGAUUUGGCCUUUUUAACUUUUUUGGAUUCGAACGUCACUGGUGAAUCUUUUGAAGACUAAACGUGCGUAUGGCGUAAAUACAAAAUAUAAUCCUGGUAUCUAUGAUGAGUUUAUUUACCACUGGGUCGAUGUCACUGCUGGUGGACUUUUAAUUCCCCGAAAGUAUCAUCAGCCCAGUAGUUAGCACUUGUGCUGACAUGAAUGAUCAUUGAUACGGUCAUAUUUAUGAAUUGAACUUUUGAAACAAUAAAGCUCUUCUACCUCAGGAAUAGAUUACCUUAGCUGUACAAAAUUUAAUUCGGGUAUCUAUGAUGAGUUUAUUCAGUAUAUAUCUGCAUGUGCCCGAAAAAACUUUUUUUGAUACAUGCACUAACAAAAUACUGUGUCAAUAUAUUAUUAUGUUCGCUUAGUAAAGGUUUUCCAUGAAAGAAGAUUCAUAAUAACAAGGGAUAUGCCAAAAAUAUUUGUAAAACAGAAUAUAAACUUUUAUAUUUUUUUUCUUCAAUAAUUGCUUAGAUUUUAGUCAUAUAUAGUUGUAUAUCGUUUCAUUUAUAUUUUUAUUGCAGCCUUCAUAUGGAUCUAUGGCAGACGGUGGAAAUCCUGACACCAAUGUAGAUAUGGUGCAUCCUGUUAUUGAUGCCUAUCAAAUGAUACAAGCACAGCCUACAAAUGCACCGG